rnacentral:rRNA from 1 species
CAGGCUUAACACAUGCAAGUCGAGGGGCAUCAGGAAGAAAGCUUGCUUUCUUUGCUGGCGACCGGCGCACGGGUGAGUAACACGUAUCCAACCUGCCCUUUACUCGGGGAUAGCCUUUCGAAAGAAAGAUUAAUACCCGAUGGCAUAAUGAUUCCGCAUGGUUUCAUUAUUAAAGGAUUCCGGUAAAGGAUGGGGAUGCGUUCCAUUAGGUUGUUGGUGAGGUAACGGCUCACCAAGCCUUCGAUGGAUAGGGGUUCUGAGAGGAAGGUCCCCCACAUUGGAACUGAGACACGGUCCAAACUCCUACGGGAGGCAGCAGUGAGGAAUAUUGGUCAAUGGGCGCUAGCCUGAACCAGCCAAGUAGCGUGAAGGAUGAAGGCUCUAUGGGUCGUAAACUUCUUUUAUAUAAGAAUAAAGUGCAGUAUGUAUACUGUUUUGUAUGUAUUAUAUGAAUAAGGAUCGGCUAACUCCGUGCCAGCAGCCGCGGUAAUACGGAGGAUCCGAGCGUUAUCCGGAUUUAUUGGGUUUAAAGGGAGCGUAGGUGGACUGGUAAGUCAGUUGUGAAAGUUUGCGGCUCAACCGUAAAAUUGCAGUUGAUACUGUCAGUCUUGAGUACAGUAGAGGUGGGCGGAAUUCGUGGUGUAGCGGUGAAAUGCUUAGAUAUCACGAAGAACUCCGAUUGCGAAGGCAGCUCACUGGACUGCAACUGACACUGAUGCUCGAAAGUGUGGGUAUCAAACAGGAUUAGAUACCCUGGUAGUCCACACAGUAAACGAUGAAUACUCGCUGUUUGCGAUAUACAGUAAGCGGCCAAGCGAAAGCAUUAAGUAUUCCACCUGGGGAGUACGCCGGCAACGGUGAAACUCAAAGGAAUUGACGGGGGCCCGCACAAGCGGAGGAACAUGUGGUUUAAUUCGAUGAUACGCGAGGAACCUUACCCGGGCUUAAAUUGCAGUGGAAUGAUGUGGAAACAUGUCAGUGAGCAAUCACCGCUGUGAAGGUGCUGCAUGGUUGUCGUCAGCUCGUGCCGUGAGGUGUCGGCUUAAGUGCCAUAACGAGCGCAACCCUUAUCUUUAGUUACUAACAGGUCAUGCUGAGGACUCUAGAGAGACUGCCGUCGUAAGAUGUGAGGAAGGUGGGGAUGACGUCAAAUCAGCACGGCCCUUACGUCCGGGGCUACACACGUGUUACAAUGGGGGGUACAGAAGGCAGCUAGCGGGUGACCGUAUGCUAAUCCCAAAAGCCUCUCUCAGUUCGGAUCGAAGUCUGCAACCCGACUUCGUGAAGCUGGAUUCGCUAGUAAUCGCGCAUCAGCCACGGCGCGGUGAAUACGUUCCCGGGCCUUGUACACACCGCCCGUCAAGCCAUGGGAGCCGGGGGUACCUGAAGUACGUAACCGCAAGGAUCGUCCUAGGGUAAAACUGGUGACUGGGGCUAAGUCAUAACAA